rnacentral:rRNA from 1 species
UACGUAGGGUGCAAGCGUUAAUCGGAAUUACUGGGCGUAAAGCGUGCGCAGGCGGUGAUGUAAGACAGGUGUGAAAGCCCCGGGCUCAACCUGGGAACUGCAUUUGAAACUGGCGGGCUUGAGUGCGGCAGAGGGGGGUGGAAUUCCGCGUGUAGCAGUGAAAUGCGUAGAGAUGCGGAGGAACACCGAUGGCGAAGGCAGCCCCCUGGGCCGACACUGACGCUCAGGCACGAAAGCGUGGGGAGCAAACAGG